UACGGAGGGUGCAAGCGUUAUCCGGAUUCACUGGGUUUAAAGGGUGCGUAGGUGGGAAGGUAAGUCAGUGGUGAAACCCCCGAGCUUAACUUGGGAACUGCCAUUGAUACUAUCUUUCUUGAAUACCUUGGAGGUGAGCGGAAUAUGUCAUGUAGCGGUGAAAUGCGUAGAUAUCGUCUGGAACGCCAAAGGUGAAAACAGCUCGCUGGGGUUGUGCUGACGCUGAGACACGAAAGCCAGGGGAGCGAACGGG
rnacentral:rRNA from 1 species